rnacentral:tRNA from 2 species
GGUUCGGUGGUGUAGUUGGUUUAUCACGUCAGUCUAACAUCUGUUCCGCAGAGUUCACUGAAGGUCGGGAGUUCGAGCCUCCCCUGAAUCA